UCUGUUGUUCCUUUGUUCAUUCUGUAACUCAUGAGCAGCCCUUUUCUACGACGAAAAAUGCAUGCUACGUUACUCAAGUAACUUAGAAAGCAUGCAGCAAGAAGCUCAAACGUUUCGAAUUCGAAUCAAAGGAUACAUGGACUUGCUCAGAGCACACCAGAUUUUCCCGGUAACCAUUGUUUUCGAGAUCCCGCUUCCAGAGCCCUUGGGCAUCUGCUUGUCUGAUUAAUGGCGUGUUUGUUUGCUCGAAUGACUGAUCUCGUAAACAAUACGGGAGUAGUUGUUGAGAUACGAGAGGUCGAGGGAGAUGAUGAUGGGGAAGGCGAACUAUUUGCUACGCUGCAAAUUGGGGAUCACACAGUGAUCAGAGGGAUGAAAUUUUUGGAUCGAAUGGCUGAUUUGGGCCCCAGAAGCGUUCAUGUCACUGCGAUACUUGCUGCUGGUACCACCACGUUGAUCUUUGCAGCGCAGUAUUUCGCUGCCUACGGACAGGUCGUCUUUCGGCUAGACAACCAACAACUGGUGGUUGAGCCAAAAGAGAUGUCCGGAAUCCGCCGCAUGAGGCCGGUUAGGUUCUUAGCAUGUGUUUGAGCAAAUCAUCAAAACGGCCGGCGCGGAUCAUGAGCAAUAUUCAUCGGGGGUGAUGACAUUGACUAUGCUGUUUUUCGGGGUGUAAUGUUUUACGAAGGCACUUCGAACGAAGAUCUUCUGGUUGAUCGAAGAUCUAAUUAAGCCGGUUUGUCACAAGGACUUUAUAUGAUUUCUGAGAAGAUCUUAUGUUGAGUUUUGUAAUUUUAAUUACUCUAAGAAGAGCAUUGGUGAAUUAAUUGUCAUUUUUGAUGACAAAAACCAUGACAUGCAUGCAAAGCAAGUUAAUGAUGUCAAACCUUUUUAUGCUACUUGUUUCUGGUUGCUCAAAAUUUUCAUGCAUGGAAAUCAUGACUUCCUUUUUCAGGUCAUAUAUUAGUCCGCCAUUAAUUAAUUACUUGGAGGACUCAAUAUUAACCAAAUCGGUUUAUUAUUCGUAUCAUGCUUGGCUUGAUUGAUUGAUAUACGUAGUGGAGAAAUUACAGAAGAAAAAAAGCAGCCACAACCAUUCCUCGCCGACGGAGCCCCCCACCCCCACAGCCUGCCAUGACUGUCACCAAUCUUUCUUUUUUCAUCAUCUUUCAUAUCUCUUCACCUUACAAUUUAUCAACACACAACACUGAACAUUUAAAGGAGGCUUGAGAAUCAUCAUCUAGUAGGCCUAAUAAUUGCCAUGGUUGACCCGGUAUCUUUCUCUCUCAAUGCAGGGUUCAGUUAAAUAAGAUCGAGGAUCCGGAAGGAGUUGGUUUAUGGUCUUGAGGAAUCAAAUUGAGCAUGCAUGUUAAUCCGUAAUUGGAUUGGAAUCCGAUUAUUGGCCCAUCACUUUAUGGUGUAUUGGUGUUGCAGACAAACAUUGUGUGAAGUUGCUAGACGACCUAAAUGACAGUUAAAUAUAAAAAUAUAGGUGUAUAUAGGUAAAUAAUGUACCUAUAUUGUAUAAAUACUAAUACUAAUACUAAUGGAUAAUAUUCGAAACUACUCUUAUCGAUAAACAAAAAUCGGGGAAAAACAAUUCAAAAAAAGAUUAGAGAGGAAGGCAGCCCUCGUGGAACAAAACGAAGCU